GUUUGCGACGCCCAACACACAAAACAAGCGGUGAGUGCUUUGGGGUGGGGUGACUGCGUACCUUUUGUAUAAUGGGUCAGCGACUUAUAUUCUGUAGCAAGGUUAACCGCAUAGGGGAGCCGGAGGGAAACCGAGUCUUAAUUGGGCGUUAAGUUGCAGGGUAUAGACCCGAAACCCGGUGAUCUAGCCAUGGGCAGGUUGAAGGUUGGGUAACACUAACUGGAGGACCGAACCGACUAAUGUUGAAAAAUUAGCGGAUGACCUGUGGCUGGGGGUGAAAGGCCAAUCAAACCGGGAGAUAGCUGGUUCUCCCCGAAAGCUAUUUAGGUAGCGCCUCGUGAAUUCAUCUCCGGGGGUAGAGCACUGUUUCGGCUAGGGGGCCAUCCCGGCUUACCAACCCGAUGCAAACUGCGAAUACCGGAGAAUGUUAUCACGGGAGACACACGGCGGGUGCUAACGUCCGUCGUGAAGAGGGAAACAACCCAGACCGCCAGCUAAGGUCCCAAAGUCAUGGUUAAGUGGGAAACGAUGUGGGAAGGCCCAGACAGCCAGGAUGUUGGCUUAGAAGCAGCCAUCAUUUAAAGAAAGCGUAAUAGCUCACUGGUCGAGUCGGCCUGCGCGGAAGAUGUAACGGGGCUAAACCAU
rnacentral:rRNA from 2 species